rnacentral:tRNA from 4 species
GGAGGGAUGGCCGAGUGGUUGAAGGCGGCGGUCUUGAAAACCGUUUCCCGGUAAUCCCGGGACGUGGGUUCGAAUCCUACUCCCUCCG